rnacentral:lncRNA from 1 species
GGGCAAGGAAACACAAGCUGGCUUACAGGUGGAAUACCUGAGAGUCUCCAGAGAGGACCCAUGACAGACAGCUGAGACAUGGAUGGACACGAGCCCCAGAGAGACUUCAGAUCUGGCUGGAGCAGAUUCAGAAAACCUCUUAUCUCCCCCAGGCGGAUGAUGUGCCCACCGACCACAUCAGCCACGUGAGAUCCAGUGCGACAGUGGAGCAUGUGUGCGCAGAGGAGACAGGAACAACAACCGGGAUGUCAUGCGGGCGCACUGGGGCUCCUUGUGGCCCCAGUGCACAGAAUUCUGGUGGACCCACCAUGUGUGGGAGCUCAGUGAGACUCAAAGUAAGUGCAAGGCCCUCCUCACACAUCGUACGCUGAAGGUGGAGCACACUGGGAAAAUGUGCAUGCAUCAAGAAGAAAAAUGAAAACUGAUUUUGUGCAACAUUUCCACUGUUCUUGGAAGAAUGAAAUAAAUGCAUAUGAG